rnacentral:rRNA from 1 species
ACAGCAGUAGCCGCGGUAAUACGGAGGGUGCAAGCGUUAAUCGGAAUUACUGGGCGUAAAGCGCACGCAGGCGGUCUGACAAGUCAGAUGUGAAAUCCCCGGGCUUAACCUGGGAACUGCAUUUGAAACUGUCAGGCUGGAGUCUUGUAGAGGGGGGUGGAAUUCCAGGUGUAGCGGUGAAAUGCGUAGAGAUCUGGAGGAAUACCGGUGGCGAAGGCGGCCCCCUGGACAAAGACUGACGCUCAGGUGCGAAAGCGUGGGGAGCAAACAGGAUUAGAUACCCCGGUAGUCCCUGUCUCUUAUAU